rnacentral:rRNA from 1 species
UACGGAGGAUGCGAGCGUUAUCCGGAUUCAUUGGGUUUAAAGGGUGCGUAGGCGGCCCGGUAAGUCAGCGGUGAAAGUUUGCGGCUCAACCGUAAAAUUGCCGUUGAUACUGUCGGGCUUGAGUUCAGAUGAAGUGGGCGGAAUGAGUAGUGUAGCGGUGAAAUGCUUAGAUAUUACUCAGAACACCGAUUGCGAAGGCAGCCCACUAAACUGUGACUGACGCUGAUGCACGAAAGCGUGGGGAUCGAACAGG